rnacentral:tRNA from 1 species
GAUGCGGUAGCUCAGUGGUAGAGCGGAGGAUUGCAGUUGCAACUGUCAACCAUCCUCAGGUCCUGCGUUCGAACCGCGGUCGCAGCU